UACAGAGGUCUCAAGCGUUGUUCGGAUUCAUUGGGCGUAAAGGGUGUGUAGGUGGCGCCGUAAGUCGGGUGUGAAAUUUCGGAGCUUAACUCCGAAACUGCAUUCGAUACUGCGCUGCUCGAGGACUGGAGAGGAGACUGGAAUUCAUGGUGUAGCAGUGAAAUGCGUAGAGAUCAUGAGGAAGACCAGUGGCGAAGGCGGGUCUCUGGACAGUUCCUGACACUGAGACACGAAGGCCAGGGGAGCAAACGGG
rnacentral:rRNA from 1 species